ACAACCCCAAACUUAGAACUUUUCUUGUCCUCAAGCAAACACAAUGCAACCUAGUCUUCCACAAUUCAUCACAACCUUUUCAAAUCCAAUUACUCAAAUCAGCUUAUCCAAAGAAUUCAAUCAAGAUGCACAUAUGCUUCAAAUCAAACCAUCAUAGUGUUCUUCACAGUCACAUACAAUCCAACAGAUGCUAUUCACAUGAAUGAUCAAUUAGCUAAGCACAAAUAUAAUCAUAGAUUCAUGGAAUUCUUCCUCUCCGGACAAAGUGUUUCACUCAACCACUGAAGUAUUUCAAAAGGUUACUCCAUCCCUCUACCAUCUACAUGUCACAUAGAACAAAAUUGUCAUUCAUUUGCCACAAUCAAACAUCAUCACAUACACAUGUCACCACAAGUACUUUUCAAGGCUUAUAAUGUGGUUGGGCUAACAAGGAAAAUUGGUUUUUCUAGAUCACAAAAUCCUUGAGUUAAGAGAGUCAUUCAAAUAAUUAUGGUUCAAGUACAAACUCUCUUUUUACCAAUCUCACUUAUUCCCAACUUUUCCUUAUCUUCACAUUGUGUUUUUCUUCUCAUGCUUUUUCUUUUUCUUAUCUUUUCUAUUUUUUUUCAUACAUUUUCAUUCAACUCAAUAGCUCAAUGUCAAACUUUUUCUUUUUCAAUUCUCCCAUCAACCCCAAACUUGAACCUUUAACUACACCACAAAGUAUUUCUCAACCUAACUCAAGGUAAAGAUUUUCAAAGCAAGGGUUUUUAUCCUGUUUAAAGCUUAGGUUCAAAAAGGGUAGAACAUAAGAU
rnacentral:lncRNA from 1 species